rnacentral:misc_RNA from 1 species
ACRMACAGGCUUUAGAUCACCACCGCNGGUGGUGCCGCUCYYUACGUCCUUGGCUCGCAGUUUGACCCGUGGUUUGCGGAAACACCUUUAACAGGAUCUUCCUUCCYGAUUGGGUUGGGAUGAUAGGGACCAGAAUUUGUGACACCCAGGCACACAUGCCCUCGGCCAAAAGGCUUGGGGCGCACCUUGCKCCGCCACACCCGAUGGGGCGUGGGAGUCUGCGCUUCGCUGAAGUAUCGCAUUUCAAURACUUCUUCAUCGAUGCAUCAGCCGACAUAUCCGUUGCAAAAAGUUAUUUUARAGUUUAAAUUGGUGYGCAUUGUCCAAU